rnacentral:rRNA from 1 species
GUUUGGGAGAGGCCGUGGGAGGGCUAGACUCGGCUCGAAGUAUAUAUUGAUUGUUGUUUCGCUGUCCAUAGAGGGUGUUAGGCCCGUAGGGCCGGCGUCUAGAUACUCCCGUCGGUUUCUCUCGAGAGUCGGGUUGCUUGGAAGUGCAGCCCUAAGUAGGUGGUAAACUCCAUCUAAGGCUAAAUAUUCCCACGAGACCGAUAGAGCACAAGUACCGCGAGGGAAAGUUGAAAAGAACUCUGAAGAGAGAGUUCAAGAGAGCGUGAAACUACCACGAGGUUAAAGCGAGUGAGCGUUCGCGCCCGAACGGCUUGGUUCAACCUGCCCCGGACGAGACACGCGGCGGGGGAACGUAGCGCUAGCUUCAAACGGAUCUCCCGAGAGUCAGAGGCGUUCUUCGCCUCGCGUCUCGAGGGCUGACCGGCGUCUUCCUCACGUACGCGCGAAAGGGGGAUGCACUCCGGGCCGAAGUAGGGCGUCGCGGCCGUUCGAGGGGUGUCAAAGGCCCGGGGGUCUGGGAAACCGUAUCUUCCCGCGCGGGACGAACUCGUUCGUCGCGUUAACGGGU